rnacentral:rRNA from 1 species
AGAACGAACGCUGGCGGCAGGCUUAACACAUGCAAGUCGAGCGCUCGCAGCAAUGCGGGAGCGGCAGACGGGUGAGUAACGCGUGGGAACAUACCCUUCGGUUCGGAAUAGCUCAGGGAAACUUGAAUUAAUACCGGAUACGGCCAGAAGUGAAAAUUUCUGGCGAAAGAUUUAUCGCCGAAGGAUUGGCCCGCGUUCGAUUAGCUAGUUGGUGAGGUAACGGCUCACCAAGGCGACGAUCGAUAGCUGGUCUGAGAGGAUGAUCAGCCACAUUGGGACUGAGACACGGCCCAAACUCCUACGGGAGGCAGCAGUGGGGAAUAUUGGACAAUGGGCGCAAGCCUGAUCCAGCCAUGCCGCGUGAGUGAUGACGGCCUUAGGGUUGUAAAGCUCUUUCGCUAGGGACGAUAAUGACGGUACCUAGACAAGAAGCCCGGCUAACUUCGUGCCAGCAGCCGCGGUAA